rnacentral:rRNA from 1 species
GACGAACGCUGGCGGCGUGCGUAACACAUGCAAGUCGAACGGAAAGGCCCUGCUUUUGUGGGGUGCUCGAGUGGCGAACGGGUGAGUAACACGUGAGUAACCUGCCCUUGACUUUGGGAUAACUUCAGGAAACUGGGGCUAAUACCGGAUAGGAGCUCCUGCUGCAUGGUGGGGGUUGGAAAGUUUCGGCGGUUGGGGAUGGACUCGCGGCUUAUCAGCUUGUUGGUGGGGUAGUGGCUUACCAAGGCUUUGACGGGUAGCCGGCCUGAGGGGGUGACCGGCCACAUUGGGACUGAGAUACGGCCCAGACUCCUACGGGAGGCAGCAGUGGGGAAUAUUGCACAAUGGGCGGAAGCCUGAUGCAGCAACGCCGCGUGCGGGAUGACGGCCUUCGGGUUGUAAACCGCUUUCGCCUGUGACGAAGCGUGAGUGACGGUAAUGGGUAAAGAAGCACCGGCUAACUACGUGCCAGCAGCCGCGGUGAUACGUAGGGUGCGAGCGUUGUCCGGAUUUAUUGGGCGUAAAGGGCUCGUAGGUGGUUGAUCGCGCCGGAAGUGUAAUCUUGGGGCUUAACCCUGAGCGUGCUUUCGAUACGGGUUGACUUGAGGAAGGUAGGGGAGAAUGGAAUUCCUGGUGGAGCGGUGGAAUGCGCAGAUAUCAGGAGGAACACCAGUGGCGAAGGCGGUUCUCUGGGCCUUUCCUGACGCUGAGGAGCGAAAGCGUGGGGAGCGAACAGGCUUAGAUACCCUGGUAGUCCACGCUGUAAACGGUGGGUACUAGGUGUGGGGUCCAUUCCACGGGUUCCGUGCCGUAGCUAACGCUUUAAGUACCCCGCCUGGGGAGUACGGCCGCAAGGCUAAAACUCAAAGGAAUUGACGGGGCCCCGCACAAGCGGCGGAGCAUGCGGAUUAAUUCGAUGCAACGCGUAGAACCUUACCUGGGUUUGACAUGGAUCGGGAGUGCUCAGAGAUGGGUGUGCCUCUUUUGGGGUCGGUUCACAGGUGGUGCAUGGCUGUCGUCAGCUCGUGUCGUGAGAUGUUGGGUUAAGUCCCGCAACGAGCGCAACCCUUGUUCACUGUUGCCAGCACGUUAUGGUGGGGACUCAGUGGAGACCGCCGGGGUCAACUCGGAGGAAGGUGGGGAUGACGUCAAGUCAUCAUGCCCCUUAUGUCCAGGGCUUCACGCAUGCUACAAUGGCUGGUACAGAGAGUGGCGAGCCUGUGAGGGUGAGCGAAUCUCGGAAAGCCGGUCUCAGUUCGGAUUGGGGUCUGCAACUCGACCUCAUGAAGUCGGAGUCGCUAGUAAUCGCAGAUCAGCAACGCUGCGGUGAAUACGUUCCCGGG